rnacentral:tRNA from 1 species
UAGGCUUAACCACAUAGGAUACACCUUGAUAGGGUGUAGCACACAAAGCCUAU